rnacentral:rRNA from 1 species
CCGACCGGCGCACGGGUGAGCAACACGUAUGCAACCUGGCCGCCACAGGGGGAUAACCCGCGGAAACGCGGCCUAAUACCCCGUGACGCCACCGGAGGGCAUCCUCCGGGUGGCCAAAAGGAGCGAUCCGGUGGCGGAUGGGCAUGCGGCGCAUUAGCUAGACGGCGGGGUGACGGCCCACCGUGGCGACGAUGCGUAGGGGUUCUGAGAGGAAGGCCCCCCACACUGGGACUGAGACACGGCCCAGACUCCUACGGAAGGCAGCAG